AUUGAACGCUGGCGGCAGGCCUAACACAUGCAAGUCGAACGGUAACAGGAAACAGCUUGCUGUUUCGCUGACGAGUGGCGGACGGGUGAGUAAUGUCUGGGAAACUGCCUGAUGGAGGGGGAUAACUACUGGAAACGGUAGCUAAUACCGCAUAACGUCGCAAGACCAAAGAGGGGGACCUUCGGGCCUCUUGCCAUCGGAUGUGCCCAGAUGGGAUUAGCUAGUAGGUGGGGUAACGGCUCACCUAGGCGACGAUCCCUAGCUGGUCUGAGAGGAUGACCAGCCACACUGGAACUGAGACACGGUCCAGACUCCUACGGGAGGCAGCAGCGGGGAAUAUUGCACAAUGGGCGCAAGCCUGAUGCAGCCAUGCCGCGUGUAUGAAGAAGGCCUUCGGGUUGUAAAGUACUUUCAGCGGGGAGGAAGGGAGUAAAGUUAAUACCUUUGCUCAUUGACGUUACCCGCAGAAGAAGCACCGGCUAACUCCGUG
rnacentral:rRNA from 1 species